UCACGUCCUUGCCAUAAGAGCUUCGGUUGAAAAAGCUGAGCUUUUAAUUUUAAGCAAUAUAAAAGUGAGUUACAUUACAUUGCAUGUAUUCUAUUUCUUCAUUUCAACUUUAUUGUUUGUUAAUUAUGCCUAAAUUUUUGAGCUUCUCAUUUUGCAGGAUUUCAAUCAAAUUUUAUGGUACAGUUCAUACCAAAAUUGACAAUUUUAUGGUACAACAGCUUGAUGGAACUGUUAAUGAGUGUGAAUGUCAAACAAUAUGAAGAGCAUCAAACUCCCUUAGUUUGAAACCAACCAAACCAAUAUGCAAACAUUUGCGACAGGCACACCAC
rnacentral:lncRNA from 1 species